GGGGCUGAUUCUGGAUUCGACGGGAUUCGCGAAACCCAAGGUGCAUGCCGAGGUGCGGUGGCCUCGUAAAAAACCGCAAAAAAAAUAGUUGCAAACGACGAAAACUACGCACUAGCAGCUUAAUAACCUGCUUAGAGCCCUCUCUCCCUAGCCUCCGCUCUUAGGACGGGGAUCAAGAGAGGUCAAACCUAAAAGAGCUCGUGUGGAAACCUUGCCUGGGGUGGAAGCAUUAAAACUAAUCAGGAUAGUUUGUCAGUAGCGUGUCCAUCCGCAGCUGGCCGGCGAAUGUAAUGAUUGGACUAAGCAUGUAGUGCCGACGGUGUAGUAAUUUCGGACGGGGGUUCAAAUCCCCCAGCUCCACCA
rnacentral:tmRNA from 1 species